ACAAGAGCAAACAUGCCUGAUGGGCCACAGCGCGUCCUGUGUCUGCCUCUGCCUGAGCCUUGCUGAGCGCCAGGUCUCACAGCAGACCCAAGCUGGUGUCUUGGGGUUCAGGAAGCAAACCUGGAGGAGGAGGGCUGCAGACUUCAGGACCUGGAAUCAGCCAAGUCUUAGUUGUGGCACGAGGGGCUUUUGCCGGGUGCACAGGCUCUGUGGUUGUGGCACAGGCUUAGUUGUCCCAGAGCAUGUGGGAUCCCAGUCACCCAACCAGGAAUCAAACCCAUACCUCCUGCACUGCAAGACAGAUGCUUCACCAUGGGACCACCAGGAAAACAUAACUAGUCCUGUGAAGAAGCAUGAAUAUAUAAUUGAUAAACAACAGAAAAAAAAAUAGACAACAGACACACAAAUCAUUCAGCUAUUGGAAUCAGUAGACGGAACUUUAUAAUAAUGAGUGGAAGAACUGGAACUCUCAUGCACUGCUGGUGGAAGUGUAAAAUCCAUGUAUCUGCCAGAGCACACUAAGGAUACAAAAACUACACAGUACUUUGGACAGGAAAUUUUACUGUGAAGAAUUAUUAAGGGGCUUCCUUGGUGGCUCAGCAGUGAAGAAUCUGCCUGCCAAUGCAGGAGACACAGGUUCGAUCCCUGAUGGGGGAAGAUCCCACAUGCUGCAGUGCAACUAAGCCCCUGCACCACGACUUUUGAGCCUGUGCUCUAGAGCCCAGGAGCUGCAACUAUGAGGCCACGUGCUACAUCUACUGAUGCCUGUGUGCCUUGAGCCUGUGUUCCGCAACAAGAUAAGCCACUGCACUGAGAAGCCCAUGAACUGCAACUAGAGAGAGAGCAGCUCCCGCUCUCCACAUCUAGAAAAAGCCUUCACAGCAACGAAGACCCAGCACAGCCCCCAAAAUAAAUAAUACAUUUUAAUAUAAAGAAUUAUUAAGGAUAAGAGGAGACUGCCUAGUAAGGAGAAAAGAUAACCCUAAAGAAUAUAGUUAUAGCAGAUGUCAGGAGUAGACUCUAGGGCUGAGGCAGAGAACCCAAAGGAGGAACAAAGCUGAAUGAGUCCCAGUCCUCACCUUCUACCCCAGGGCUGAGAAUCUCCAUUGUUGGAGAUUAUGUAGCCAUGACCCACGGGAUGAUGAAGAACGGCCAGUCUCAAAGACAAGGCAGGCCCUUUGUUCAAGGUCCAUGCAGAUGGAAUUUACUGGAAAGCAUUUUCCUCUUGGUGCUGAGGGAAGUCAUCCAUGGAAGGGAGUCACACUGUGGAAACAGCUGGAAAUUUUCCCACAGGAAUAAUACAUUGGAAAGUCAACCUCUGAGGUUUUGGAGGAAGCUGCACAUGGAGAUAUGCUUUGUGUUUCUGACUGCCACAUGCUGCAGGAACCUGCCGAGGAAGACAUCAGAACCAGAAGAGAAGCCUCUUUCUCCUACGGUGGCUGCCAUUGCUCCCUACUGACAAACCUUGACACUGUACUGGAUGGCAAGGGAGAAAUGCUGGCAGGGCCCAGCUCCGUUAGAACAGGGCAGGUAACUGAGAACGGGCCUGGAGGUAAUAAACUGAUAACUGACAAAAUUGGCUUUGCAAAACUAUUUAGUAGAGUCUCCUAAAACUAAACAUACAGCUACCUUUGGACUCAAAUUUUUUAUUAAUACUCCUAGGUAUAUAUCUAAAGACAAAUUAGUAUAUUCACCAAAAGACACAUUUAAGAAUAUUUAUAGCAGUUUUAGUCAUAAUAGCCCCCAAAGUGGAGAC
ensembl:lncRNA